rnacentral:rRNA from 1 species
CCUACGGGAGGCAGCAGUGAGGAAUAUUGGUCAAUGGACGAGAGUCUGAACCAGCCAAGUAGCGUGAAGGAUGACUGCCCUAUGGGUUGUAAACUUCUUUUAUAUGGGAAUAAAAUUUUCCACGUGUGGGAUUUUGUAUGUACCAUAUGAAUAAGGAUCGGCUAACUCCGUGCCAGCAGCCGCGGUAAUACGGAGGAUCCGAGCGUUAUCCGGCUUUAUUGGGUUUAAAGGGAGCGUAGGUGGAUUGUUAAGUCAGUUGUGAAAGUUUGCGGCUCAACCGUAAAAUUGCAGUUGAUACUGGCAGUCUUGAGUACAGUAGAGGUGGGCGGAAUGCGUGGUGUAGCGGUGAAAUGCUUAGAUAUCACGAAGAACUCCGAUUGCGAAGGCAGUUCACUGGACUGCAACUGACACUGAGGCUCGAAAGUGUGGGUAUCAAACAGGAUUAGAUACCCGAGUAGUC